AUGAACGCUGGCGGCGUGCCUUAAGCAUGCAAGUCGAUCGCACUGAAAAACCGCAAGGUUUUUUAGUGAGAGGCGGACGGGUGAGUACAAGCAAGGAACGUGCCCUUUACUGUGACAUAGCUCGUCGAAAGACGGGGUAAUAUCGCAUGAGCCCGCAAGGGCAAAGCGCUUAACCGCGCGGUAAAGGAGCGGCCUUGCAGCUAUCAGCUUGUUGGUGGGGUAAAGGCCUACCAAGGCGACGACGGCUAGGGGGUGUGAGAGCAUGGCCCCCCACAAUGGCACUGAGACACGGGCCAUACAUCUACGGAUGGCAGCAACUGGGAAUCGUUGGCAAUGGGCGAAAGCCUGACCACGCGACGCCGCGUGAGGGAUGAAGGCCUUCGGGUCGUAAACCUCUUUUAUUUGGCUAUCGAAGUCAUUUGAAUAAGCACCUACAAACUACGU
rnacentral:rRNA from 1 species